AACGAACGCUGGCGGCGUGCCUCAUACAUGCAAGUGGAGCGACGAACCAGGGCUUUGCCCUGGGGCUAAGCCGCGAACGGGUGAGUAACACGUGGGUAACCUGCCCCGAAGACCGGGACAACCCGAGGAAACUCGGGCUAAUACCGGAUGUGCUCGCCGCGCACAAGCGCGGCGCGUAAAGGAAGCUUCGGCCUCCGCUUUGGGAGGGGCCCGCGGCCCAUUAGCUUGUUGGUGAGGUAACGGCUCACCAAGGCUGCGAUGGGUAGCUGGUCUAAGAGGACGGUCAGCCACACUGGGACUGAGACACGACCCAGACUCCUACGGGAGGCAGCAGUAGGGAAUCUUGCGCAAUGCGCGAAAGCGUGACGCAGCAACGCCGCGUGGAGGAUGAAGGUCCUCUGGAUUGUAAACUUCUUUUAUAUGGGACGAAAAAGGGCUUUUCUAAGUCGUCUGACGGUACCAUAUGAAUAAGCACCGGCUAACUCCGUGCCAGCCGCCGCGGUAAAAC
rnacentral:rRNA from 1 species